rnacentral:rRNA from 1 species
CCUACGGGAGGCAGCAGUGGGGAAUAUUGGACAAUGGGCGCAAGCCUGAUCCAGCCAUGCCGCGUGAGUGAUGAAGGCCUUAGGGUUGUAAAGCUCUUUUGUACGGGAAGAUAAUGACGGUACCGUAAGAAUAAGCCCCGGCUAACUUCGUGCCAGCAGCCGCGGUAAUACGAAGGGGGCUAGCGUUGCUCGGAAUCACUGGGCGUAAAGGGUGCGUAGGCGGGUUUUUAAGUCAGAGGUGAAAUCCUGGAGCUCAACUCCAGAACUGCCUUUGAUACUGAAAGUCUUGAGUAUGGGAGAGGUGAGUGGAACUGCGAGUGUAGAGGUGAAAUUCGUAGAUAUUCGCAAGAACACCAGUGGCGAAGGCGGCUCACUGGCCCAUUACUGACGCUGAGGCACGAAAGCGUGGGGAGCAAACAGGAUUAGAUACCCUGGUAGUCCACGCCGUAAACGAUGAAUGCCAGCCGUUAGUGGGUUUACUCACUAGUGGCGCNGCUACGUACUUAGUACUACUCCGUCCGUCGGGUAGGUACGGUCGCGAGAAGUAAACGUAACGAAGAAGUAAGUACGCGUUGAGUAGUUGCGACGACGACGACGAGGGAGGAGG